rnacentral:rRNA from 1 species
AGUGAACGCUGGCGGUAGGCCUAACACAUGCAAGUCGAACGGCAGCACAGUAAGAGCUUGCUCUUACGGGUGGCGAGUGGCGGACGGGUGAGGAAUACAUCGGAAUCUACUUUUUCGUGGGGGAUAACGUAGGGAAACGUACGCUAAUACCGCAUACGACCUACGGGUGAAAGCAGGGGAUCUUCGGACCUUGCGCGAUUGAAUGAGCCGAUGUCGGAUUAGCUAGUUGGCGGGGUAAAGGCCCACCAAGGCGACGAUCCGUAGCUGGUCUGAGAGGAUGAUCAGCCACCCUGGAACUGAGACACGGUCCAGACUCCUACGGGAGGCAGCAGUGGGGAAUAUUGGACAAUGGGCGCAAGCCUGAUCCAGCCAUACCGCGUGGGUGAAGAAGGCCUUCGGGUUGUAAAGCCCUUUUGUUGUGAAAGAAAAGCAGCAGGUUAAUACCCCGCUGUUCUGACGGUACCCAAAGAAUAAGCACCGGCUAACUUCGUG